AGAAAAAUAUCGAACUACCAGGUGCCUUCUUUGGGAAGAAAUGUGCAGCGAGCAGAUUCAGACUAACACGGCUACCCAUCUGAUACCUGACACCAUGCAAGGCACUGCAUUUAGCCGUAUGGAAUGGAAAUCUAUCAACCUCAUGAAGAAACUUGCACAAAUACAGACAGAUAUCAUCUUCCUUUCCAAAUGCAAACGGAUGGACAUCAUACCAAAUGGCACACCUCAACUGCUAGCAGAGCACCUCACCCUCCCUGAUUGAACUAACCUCGUUAUCUCCAUACUGAUUUAUACCUGCCUCUGGAGAUUUCCAUUGAUUGCAUCUGAAGAAGUGAGGUUCUUACCCACGAAAGCUUAUGCUCCCAAUACUUCUGUUAGUCUUAAAGGUGCCACAGGACCCUCUGUUGCUUUUUACCAAAUACUAAUAAUAUUCUGGGCACCAGACAGAUUACCUGGAACAUAACUCAGGUUUCUCUAAAGUCUAAGAUGUUAGUGAAUUGAUUUAUUGCUUUGCACAGACGCAGGACAGAUCUAUGUGCCCCAUCAUCUGUAGAAGAUGCUUCAGUGCUGCCAAUCCAAUGUAGUGUUUUCAGUAGGUGAAGAUAGCAUUGGACUUUUCAUUGCCACAUCUGGAAUGAAAUUGUUUGGGGCAGUUAGAAGAUUUCGCUGGGCUUUUUGUUCACCAUAGGAACUGUGCUCUUUACUCUUAAGUCAGUGCCAGAGAGCUGGUCCCGUGGGUCUAACCCCAGAAUGUAUAAUAAAGAGUUAAACACCAAAAUGACUGCUGACUUGUAAUGUAUGAAGCAGUGAAUCAAUGUCCAAAAUUGGAGUGUAGAAGGGCAGUUCCAUAACCUCUUUAUGAAUAAGGGUGAUUGAAAACCACAGUUAGGGCAUCAUAGAUACAGAACUGAAUUUGCUUUCUUUAAAAUAGAAUGAAAAUGGCAAAGCAGAAAAUACUGCGCUUAUUUGUAAGCACUGCAAAUAGAAACUCGUAAAGGCAUUCACAUAAUUUCUGUCAUUGAUUAUCCUUAACAGGACUACACCUAUCUCAUAGAGCUGGAAGGGACCCUGAAAGGUCAUUGAGUCCAGCCCCCUGCCUUCACUAGCAGGACCAAGUACUGAUAUUUUGCCCCAGAUCCCUAAGUGGCCCCCUCAAGGAUUGAACUCACAACCCUGGGUUUAGCAGGCUAAUGCUCAAACCACUGAGCUAUCCCUCCCCCCACGUAUGAAGAACUCAAGUCAAAGGAACAAAAGUUGGAGCUCACACUUUAGAUUAUUUCUCAACUAAGAUGUCCAGUUAAGGGCUUACUUGGGUUAGACCAUUCAUCAAAUGCUUCUUCUAAUUGGUUCUUCCCCACUUGAGCUGCUUCUCCUUUAUAACAAUGUCUAGGAAGGGUACAAAUGAUAGGUAUGCAUAGAAACCCCAAAAGGGCAGAAUAAACUGAAUUCUGAUCUGUUCAAAGUUCAGCAGUGUUAAGCCUUGGACAAAGUCUCUAAAGGUUGAUAGUCCUUUGAUAUCUCAUCUUUUAGAGUUGGUAUCUUCUUCUCCUGCAGGAAAGCUGGGAUCAUGCAUAUCCAAGGAGUCAGAUAGAAUUUUGGCAUUGAACCAAGAUAUCUGACUGUGUUUUUCCAUACUUGCCGCAUGGUCCUAUGGAAAGGAUGUUAUCUGAUCUCCUGAAGAUGCAAAGCAUCUUCUCCAUAAGUCAGAUUGGAAAGAAUAAAAGGAAAACAAUAUACUGCUUCUGUGCUUGGGAUGUGAGGAUAUUGUUGUGAGUGUUUGUAAAAUAUAUCAGUUCCAAACCUUUCUGUC